rnacentral:rRNA from 2 species
UUGACCUCAAAUCAGGUAGGACUACCCGCUGAACUUAAGCAUAUCAAUAAGCGGAGGAAAAGAAACUAACAAGGAUUCCCCUAGUAACUGCGAGUGAAGCGGGAAAAGCUCAAAUUUAAAAUCUGGCGGUCUCCGGCCGUCCGAG